rnacentral:lncRNA from 10 species
GAUUAUUUCAGAGAUUUAUUGCAAGUUAAUUGUCUGUGAAGCUGGAUAUUCCUUAACAUGAAGGUAAUAAACUUUAACGUUCCACUCAAAAAGACAAAAACCAAACAACGAAAAAUAAGAAAUUAACCAGAAAGCUAUAGCUUGUUUUCUUACUCAGAAAAAAAGUAUAACUGAUAAGGUACAAUUUCUGUAACUGGAUAUUUUUCAAAAUUAUAAGGCUUUUAGUUCUAAAAGUAUAAAGAACUGUGAUGCACUUCUAGUCAACCUAAUCUUGCUAGAAGCUUUAUCAACACUGACAGUCUCAAUACUUUCUCUUUUGCUAUUAUAUAGUCAACUUUAAAGGUAAUUCCUUAAAGUAAAUUUGUGUGUUCCUAAAAAUAUGGACUAAAGUUGAAUGGGCAAAGGUAUACAUCGCAUUUUCUGGGGGAGUAGGGGAGAAGUCAUUCCCAAAAAGUGAAAUAUUUAAACAAUUUUAUUCUUUCUUUCACAACUAAACACACCUUGAGGCUGAGGAACAUGUGAUUUGCCAUAUGAUUUCCAACCUUUUCUUAUCCAUUAUGUUUUAACACUUGUUUUCCCUACUUUUAGUCAUUUUUACAAACUGAAGGUAAAGAUACAGUAACUACAUGAGUAGUGAGUACAUGAAUUUUUCUAUAUAAAGAAAGUGUGACUCUACUAAAAUUGAAGUUUUGACUCACAGACACUGCUACAAUGAGAUAACUUGAGAUAUUGUCUUUGGUAUAUAAUGGGCAAUUAUGGGGUAUUAAUUUAUGAAACUGAAUAUAGAAAAGUAAAGAAUUGCCUACUUUUCUAUAUUCCAUUUCACAUACUGAUACCCCUUAAUUGAGUAGAGCUGAAAGAAAAUUCAGAAAUCAUUAAAUCAAAACUUAAUUCCUACAUAUAAAGAAUGCGGCACAGACUUGGCUAAAAUCACACUUCUCAUAGAUGCUUCAGCAAGAAUCAGAGUUUGGGGCCAAUAAUUCCAGGUCAAUUAUUCCUUACACUAUACACUACUCAUUAUUUGGAAAUUUCUCUCCCAACAAAUCUUUGUUACAAUUAUUAAAAGAAAAAUGUUCACAUUCUGUUUUCUAAUCUCUCUUCCUAGUUCAUGUUCUGUUGAAUAAAAGACAGUUACACUUCAGAAGUACAAAAGGUUGGGAUCAAAUAAAUAGACAAUUUAAAGUAGAUAAAAUCAAGAUCUGAUCAUAGUCCUUUCCUCUAUUCCUGAAAUUCACUGAUUUCAAUACUGAUUCUUAGAUAUUUGUCACCUACCUUUCGGACUUGUAGACAAUGCUGUGGCAACAGAUCUCAAGAUGUAGAUUUUAAUGCCAAAGUAUGGGUCCAUUUGAGCACUUUGCCUUUAUGGCUACUGAAAUCAUGAAAUCAAUUUCUCUCAAAGAUUUUACUCUCAGUGAGGUCACAUACAUAGUUCUUAAUCAGUGAAAAUUAUAGGCAGCUUUCUAUUUAUCCUUUAAAGGAAAUAUGUCUUAGAUGGAAAGAAUAUAAAGUAGUAAAGCAAAAGUUAACCUAGGGGAAAUUUUUUCACCAACAGAUUAUCUAGACAUCAAUUCAUAAUGCACUGGGAGAUCUAUAGUAUAUACCACAUGAAUUAUAAAGACAACAAAGGAUGUC